rnacentral:rRNA from 1 species
GGACGGGUGAGUAACACGUAGGCAACCUGCCUGUAAGAUCGGGAUAACUAUCGGAAACGAUAGCUAAGACCGGAUAACUAACCGGAUCGCAUGAUGCGGUUAUGAAACACGGCGCAAGCUGUGGCUUACAGAUGGGCCUGCGGCGCAUUAGCUAGUUGGUGGGGUAACGGCCCACCAAGGCGACGAUGCGUAGCCGACCUGAGAGGGUGAUCGGCCACACUGGGACUGAGACACGGCCCAGACUCCUACGGGAGGCAGCA